rnacentral:rRNA from 1 species
UACGUAGGUGGCAAGCGUUGUCCGGAAUUAUUGGGCGUAAAGCGCGCGCAGGCGGCCUCUUAAGUCUGAUGUGAAAGCCCCCGGCUCAACCGGGGAGGGCCAUUGGAAACUGGGAGGCUUGAGUAUAGGAGAGAAGAGUGGAAUUCCACGGUGUAGCGGGUGAAAUGGCGUAGAGAUGAUGGAGGAACACCAGUGGCGAAGG